CUGCUGUUGUGAUGAUGAAGGGAUAUAGACCCCUGCAAGCAGAGUGCUCAGUGCCGCCUGAAGGGCAAAGAGAGGCAGGAGCUGCUCUGAAGCACCGAAUAACAAUUUCCUGUUUCACCUCGCUCUCCAGAGAACGCUGGGACUGCACAUCCAGGGAAGAGUUGAGGAAAUGAAGGAAGCACUUGAACAAAGACCACAAAUUCAACAGCUGGGAAGGCAUUAUGGAGAAAUCAUUAUGACAGGUUUUCUUUUUUCUUCAGUUUUGUCUAAAAGGAACCAAAGAACUGAUGAAAUUUACUCUUAGACCAAAUAUUCCUUUGAAAACAUGAGCAUGAUCCAUUUGCCAAGAGACAUGUACUAAAACAUGAUAUCUAUUUACUAUUUUUUUGGUUUCUAAACUAAACUGACAUGAAACGAGUUCUAAAAAUAUUUAAGAAAUGGG
ensembl:lncRNA